AGCCACAAGUUAAUAUUUGUGGUCUUACCUGCCCAAUGUCUUGUAAAAGGGAUGAAUGGCCGCGGUACCCUGACCGUGCUAAGGUAGCGUAAUCAGUUGACUUUUAAAUGGAGUCAGGUAUGAAUGGAAUAACCGGGUUUAGCUGUCUCCUUCCUAGUAGUUUGAAUUUACUGUCUAAGUGAAAAAGCUUAGAUUAAGAAAAAAGACGAGAAGACCCUUAGAAUUUUUUUUAGUGGGGGUGCUUCCUCUAAUAAUUUUGUUGGGGCGACAAAGAAAUAUAUAAAAACUUUCUUUCUAAUUCUUGCCGAUUAUAUUAAGCUAGGAUAAAUUACCUGAGGGAUAACAGCAUAAUUCCAUAGAUGAGUUUGUGACCUCGAUGUUGGACUAGGAAACUAGCAAGCUAGCCGCUUGUUGUGUAGGUUCUGUUCGAACUUUAAUUCCU
rnacentral:rRNA from 1 species